AAACUCCCGCAGCUAAUGUCAUUCUAAAAACUUCUGCAUGUAAACUAUUGUCUUUGAAGUUUGUAAUUUUCUAAUUCAUCCCACUUCCAUCCUUGAGCUUGUCUUUGAAUUUGCAGUUAUAUUAGCAUGGUAUUCCAGACUUGCACUAAAUAAGGGCACAUAAAAAAGAGAUGUUCAGCAUACUCAUUAUCCUUGAUGUGUAGUCCACACUUCUCAUCCUCCAAGCAUCUUCAUCUGGCUAACCUUCCCUUUGUAAACAGCUUGCUAUAUAGGAUAAGUUGACCAUUUAGGAGGGUAUAUUUUGUUGUAAAUCAGCCUUGUCCAAUUAACCUUCUGGUAAGCUCUUUUUAGCUGAAGAGUUUGCUGAUAGUAAACUUAUCUGAUCUUAGUACAUCCAUUUCUCACCUACCAACUUCCUCAAAGUAUUUGUGAACUUCGAUGAUAACAGAUAAAAAUAUAUGAAAAUGGUCAAUUUGUAGUCCAACGAAAAGAAUCACUCUUUUCGCCUCCAAACAGUUCAUUAAUUUUGGCAAAACUAUGAUACUAUAUUUUGUCCCCAAUCAAAAUUAUGAGUCGGAUGAAUUUCAACAAUUAGCUAGUGAUCCAUCAAGACAUUUGACUAAAAAUUCAACAUGCAGCUCAAAAGACUGAACCAUUCUAAUCUACAUAUUCAUCAGCUAACGAAACAAUCAGGCUCCAAAAGUUAAAGAUAUUUGAAAGUGUUAUCUGAGUUAAAAAUACCAUUUUUUAUAAUCUACAAUAUUUACCACCAAAACAACUUAGGCUCCAAUAAAUUGAAGGAACAACUAACCAGAAAGGCAAAACAACAACCUGAGUAGAACAAUCUGGGAAAGAGAAUAACAAUGUGCAUUCUUUAGGAGCUUAUUUCCGUCCCUGAGUUCUUCUUUGCGGGAGAUUCUAAAAUAGAGCUCAGAUUUUUCAAUCUUUCCUGCUGAAUCUCACUCGGGGACCUGUAAACACUAUCUAUUAUAUUGAAGUUUGGUUCAUUUUUUAAUUUGUGAUGGAUAUGAUCAAGCACAUAAUCCUGCAUCUUCAAAUACACCAUGUCUACAAUACAUUAUGUCACAUAUUUAAAAUUUUACCAACAAAAAUAGAACAAUAUUAACCCUAUCAAUUGAAGGUUUAACGACAUAAUAUGUUCACCAUGAACUUGUGCAGUUAGAAAUAAAAUAUUUAAAUAUUAUUGCUCGUUGUUCUUAUCGAUGAUUCGGUCAUUUACUUCAAAGAAUAUGCAAUUAUUGUCUUGUGCGGGAAAUUAUAUUACUUUUCUUUCCUUUUAAAUUAUCCCAAAAUUAAUCAUAUUAGUCACUAAUAUGUUCUCCUUAAAUAGUUUUGAGAUUUGCAGUAAAAAACAUUCUCGAGUGACUUUUAUGCAUGCCAUAUCAUAAAUUUAUAAAGCUAAGAUUAAAUGGAACAUGUGAAUGAGGGUUAGAACUUAGAAGAUUCACUACCAGCCAAAUGAGAUAUAGUGAAUAAAGUUUUCAAGAAUCAACUUCAAUAUCUUCUGCUUGUCGGUCCUUAUUCACCAAUGAAAAUAUUAAAAUUCCUACAUAAGAGAUCAAUUUAUUUUAAUAAUUUUUAGCGAAUCAAAAUUAAAGACAAUUUAAGCAUAGUAGAUUGCAACUAUCUAAAAAAAACAUACUACACUAAAUGUGUUCCUUGAAACUUAACUUCAUUUACCUCAGCAUGGCUGAUAUCAUAAUAUACUACUUGUAAGGCAUUCUACAAAUGGCUUCCGGACAAUUAGGAUAGAAACCACUCCAUCCAAUAUAAAUUAUAUUCAAAGUUGGGAAAACGAGGUCUGGUUCAAUCAAGGUAUAGCUUAACGGAAUGAAAGAGAAUUAGUGUAUUAAGCAAGUAGGAAAAAGCAGAAAAAGGGACUUCAGACGUUGUUCUCAAGUCUAGUUAACGAAAGCCCCAAGUCACCAAUAACAUUGAGCAAAACUCUUUCCUGAAGCAACUCACUCCAAAUGAACAAAUUGUCAGUCAUAUCAUCAAACAAUUAGGGUGCAUAUUCCACUUCAAUAGAUUUAACUGUUGGAUAGUGAUUUAACUUUCAACAUUCAAUUACUCCAGAUUCAAACUUCAUUAACCCAUGGAACUGAAUCUAAAAUCAAAACUUUACAAAUCUAUUCGAACAAACGUAGAAAUCAAAGAAAAAUUGAAGCUCAAAAGAAAAUCAACGAAAAAUAGAGAGACAACAAGAAUUACCUCAAAAUUGCAGUAAUACUCGGAGACGAUUUGAAUAUGAAAAGCCAAUACUUAUGGGAGAUGAAAAACUUCAUAAAAAUAUAGUUCUUGGAGAAUCGGGAAGUUUUCCAAUUUUUCGUCUGGGAAACUCUGCAAGAUGAAGAACCUAUAGUGGAUGAGAGAAUGUGAUGAAGUAUCGAUGGAUGACAACACAAGAAAAUGGUGG
rnacentral:lncRNA from 1 species